rnacentral:rRNA from 1 species
GACGAACGCUGGCGGCGUGCUUAACACAUGCAAGUCGAACGGAAAGGCCCUGCUUUUGUGGGGUGCUCGAGUGGCGAACGGGUGAGUAACACGUGAGUAACCUGCCCUUGACUUUGGGAUAACUUCAGGAAACUGGGGCUAAUACCGGAUAGGAGCUCCUGCUGCAUGGUGGGGGUUGGAAAGUUUCGGCGGUUGGGGAUGGACUCGCGGCUUAUCAGCUUGUUGGUGGGGUAGUGGCUUACCAAGGCUUUGACGGGUAGCCGGCCUGAGAGGGUGACCGGCCACAUUGGGACUGAGAUACGGCCCAGACUCCUACGGGAGGCAGCAGUGGGGAAUAUUGCACAAUGGGCGGAAGCCUGAUGCAGCAACGCCGCGUGCGGGAUGACGGCCUUCGGGUUAUAAACCGCUUUCGCCUGUGACGAAGAGUGAGUGACGGUAAUGGGUAAAGAAGCACCGGCUAACUACGUG